rnacentral:rRNA from 1 species
CACGUAGGGGGCGAGCGUUGUCCGGAUUUAUUGGGCGUAAAGAGCUCGUAGGCGGCUCGGCAAGUCGGACGUGAAAUUCCAGGGCUCAACCCUGGACCGCCGUUCGAUACUGCUGUGGCUAGAGUCCGGUAGGGGAGCGUGGAACUCCUGGUGUAGCGGUGAAAUGCGCAGAUAUCAGGAAGAACACCAGUGGCGAAGGCGGCGCUCUGGGCCGGAACUGACGCUGAGGAGCGAAAGCGUGGGGAUCAAACAGG